rnacentral:rRNA from 1 species
CGUCGACCGGCGCACGGGUGAGUAACGCGUAUCCAACCUUCCCAUUACUGUGGGAUAACCUGCCGAAAGGCAGACUAAUACCACAUAGUCUUCGAUGACGGCAUCAGAUUUGAAGUAAAGAUUUAUCGGUAAUGGAUGGGGAUGCGUCUGAUUAGCUUGUUGGUGGGGUAACGGCCCACCAAGGCGACGAUCAGUAGGGGUUCUGAGAGGAAGGUCCCCCACAUUGGAACUGAGACACGGUCCAAACUCCUACGGGAGGCAGCAGCU